rnacentral:rRNA from 1 species
UACGUAGGGCGCAAGCGUUGUCCGGAAUUAUUGGGCGUAAAGAGCUCGUAGGCGGUCUGUUACGUCCGCUGUGAAAACCCAGGGCUUAACCCUGGGCUUGCAGUGGAUACGGGUAGACUAGAGGCAGGUAGGGGAGAAUGGAAUUCCCGGUGUAGCGGUGAAAUGCGCAGAUAUCAGGAGGAACACCCGUAGCGAAGGCGGCACUCUGGGCCGGAACUGACGCUGAGGAGCGAAAGCGUGGGGAGCGAACAGG